rnacentral:misc_RNA from 1 species
UCCAGCGACGCAUUUCCGCAAACAAAAUGUCGGCUACACAUUUUUUCAGAACAACAGCUAAAAAUCCAGACGAUGAUUUUGUUUUGCAUGGAAAAUCUACAUCUUAUUGGGAAAGAUCUGAAUAUCCUACAAAUUCACAGUUAACACUAACCACUUCAAGACUAAGUCAGCAUUCCAUUUACAACCCUGAUAAUUACAGAGAGCGGAAACAUGAAAAGAAAUAUGCCAGAAGUCUGACAGAUCUUGCCAAUAAUUUGGAAUACCUCAGUGAUAAAGUAGACAACACUCUCAGCAAAGGAGUCACAUUUAAGGAUGAGGACAGACAAACAGAAGAUGAAAUAAGGCGAGAGCUAAGAGAAGAAAUAGAGGCAUCAACUUUCACAAAACCGGUAAAACUGACUGAAAGUUUAAGAAGAGAUCUGGAUGAAGAUAACUUGUUAGAUUUGUAUGAGAAGCAUGUUGGUGAAAUAGAUGAUUUGUCUGGGAAGCCAAUAUCACCGCGGGAUGCUCAGUGGUUUGUUAAUCCAAACCAUUUAGACACAACAUGUGAGGCCCCUACACUGCAGAGCAUAGGUAAAACAUACAGAUAUGGAGAUAAGUGCAAGAAAAACUAUGCUGAUAAAGACAGUGUGGCUUUAGACUUCUUCCCAGUAACACUCGGUUCCUCUUAUGAGUUGUGUGCCCUUGACUACCCAGCCUCAGAACCUCUGAAUCGUACAGCACCACCUUCUUUGAGAACUGGAAGGUCUAAAUCAGCAUCUAGACUAGGAAGGUCACACCAGUUUAGGACUGUAGAUAGAUCUUUUAAUGAGAAACAAGAUUUAGACAAACUGUAUCUAAUGACUAAAGAGGCCCCAACUAUAGGAAAGUCCAGUGUUCAGUUUGCUACACCACAUGAACUGAUUCUUGGUAAACUGAGAAUGGAAAGACUAAAACUGGAAGAGGCAAAACUACUGGAACUGAAACGUCUAGAAGAACUCGAAAGAAUAAGGGGACCAAAACCUAAAUGGUAUGAAUCGACGGGCCCAGAAUUCCACUAUGAAGCACACAAGAAUACGCAGCUUAUCCGAUCAGUUUCUGAUUACCAGGAUAUGUUGGACUACAGAGAAGACCUUCUCAGAUCAUCAUACGACAACCUGAAAAAAUAUAAUAAAUCUCUUGUAUUAGCAUAAAUAUACUUUCUAGAGAUACUAUUUGUACAUUCACUGAUGGCAUUUUACAUUUUUUCUUAGUUAAACUGUGAUACAUUCAGUUAUACUCAUUCAGAUUUGUGUUUUUAAGUUCAGCUGUGAUACAUAAAGAAUUUUGAAGUUCUUCAUAAUAGUUUGUUAAUGCUUAAAGUGUUUUUCUUUUUGCCAACCUUUUUUCUGCAACUUGAACAAAGAAAAACAAUCAGAAAUAAAAAAAUAAAUAAAUAACUUGAGCUUGCCAUGAGAAAACCAACAUAGUGGGUUUGCGACCAGCAUGGAUCC